rnacentral:rRNA from 1 species
AGGAUAAACGCUGGCGGCGUGCCUAACACAUGCAAGUCGAACGCCCUACGCAAGUAGGGAGUGGCGGACGGGUGAGGAACACGUGGGUUAUCUGCCUUUCGGUGAGGAAUACCAGCGAGAAAUCGCUGACAAUACCGCAUACGGUUCUUUCGAGAGGAAGAACGAAAGUCGUAAGACGCCGGGAGAUGAGCCUGCGCCCGAUUAGUUUGUUGGUGGGGUAAAAGCCUACCAAGACUGCAAUCGGUAGCUGGUCUGAGAGGACGAUCAGCCACACUGGGAUUGAGAACGGCCCAGACUCCUACGGGGGGCAGCAGUGAGGAAUUUCGUCAAUGGGGGAAACCCUGAACGAGCAACGCCGCGUGCAGGAAGAAGGUUUUCGGAUCGUAAACUGCUUUUCUGUGGGAAGAGAACGGACGGUACCACGAGGAAGAAGCUCCGGCUAACUACGCGCCAGCAGCCGC